CAGUAGCCACGGUAAUACGAGGGGAGCUAGCGUUGUUCGGAAUUACUGGGCGUAAAGCGCGCGUAGGCGGCUUUUUAAGUCAGAGGUGAAAGCCCGGGGCUCAACCCCGGAAUUGCCUUUGAAACUGGAAAGCUAGAAUCUUGGAGAGGUCAGUGGAAUUCCGAGUGUAGAGGUGAAAUUCGUAGAGAUCGGGAGGAACACUCGUGGCGAAAGCGAGCUACUGGACAAUAUCUGACGCUGAGGCUCGAAGGCCAGGGUAGCGAAAGGGAUUAGAUACCCCCGUAGUCCCUGUCUCUUAUAA
rnacentral:rRNA from 1 species